rnacentral:misc_RNA from 1 species
AUGAAGAACGCAGCGAAAUGCGAUAAGUAGUGUGAAUUGCAGAAUUCAGUGAAUCAUCGAAUCUUUGAACGCACAUUGCGCCCCUUGGUAUUCCAUGGGGCAUGCCUGUUCGAGCGUCAUUUGUACCUUCAAGCUUUGCUUGGUGUUGGGUGUUUGUCCAUUCUCUUGCAGAGGGACUCGCCUUAAAGUAAUUGGCAGCCAGUGUUUUGGUUUUGAAGCGCAGCACAAGUCGCGAUUCAAAGCUAUACGCCCGCUUCCACAAGCCUUUUUCACUUUUGACCUCGGAUCAGGUAGGGAUACCCGCUGAACUUAAGCAUAUCAAUAAGCGGAGGA